ACCUCCCUCCUUCCAGUUUGGUCAAUUUCCUCCCAAAUCGCUCCAGAUCUGGCUCUCCAUCCUGCCGCCGACGAACGAGGCUCCUUGACGUUCAGAUCAUAUGGCUGACGGUAUAGAACAACGCAUCAUGUCCUCCACCAUGACCUCGCCCGACGCUACUCCUCCGUGGCAUCCCUCUACAUGGUUCCUUUAUUCGAGUUGACACCGUUUCUGAUGCUUCCUGCCAUGGAUGCAACCGGUUCCUCAACAUGGCCACAAGUGACACCUGCACCCAAUUCCAAAUGCGCUUCUUUGUUGUCCGCACGAUGCCUUGCAAUGACGCUGAGCACGUUGUAAUUGAGACAAACCAGUCACCGCUCUAAGUUGUCGGUUAUACUGGAACAACAGAGAGCUUGUGGCACCGCAGAUCUGUUGUCCAUGACCAGCUUUUGUAACAAGUGUUGAUGUAAUAGUGUUUUAUUUAGUUGCAGAAAGGAAUUGUAAUACUUUUGCAUAUCUUAUGAAUUUGUUUCAAGGGCUUGAUCA